AAAAAAAAAAGGUGUGUGCAGCUCAUCAAAGCAAAGUGGUCUCCCUUCAGAAAAAAAAAAACAAAACAAAAAAAAGUGGCCGGCCAUGCGGCACACACACAACAAGGAAAGGACAUGGCAAGCUUAGUGGAGGUGUUCAUACAUUUAAUCUGAAGAUGGAUUUGAAACUGUAAUAACAAAAUUGAAAUUUCUUAGAUAGAUUCACUGACGAUUGAUUUAUGUAUGUUUAGUGGAGGGGUUCAUACAUUUUCUUGCAAUUGGAAAGGUUUUGGGUACUCAAGGAAAGGUCAUUGCCGCGGAUUUGAGUCCAAUUGCUGAUUCCAAUGUCAAGGGGACGAUUUGCAGGAUAGAACCACUGGAGGAUGCUGAAGGCAGGCUUGCGAGCCUUCAAGCUGAAGUAUGUAAACACGUUCCAAGAGUUUUGCUGGAUGGGGGUUGAAAAUGGUAUCCAUGAUCUUCUUCAUCUUUGCGACAGAGCUGCUUUCAAGUUGAAGCCUGGUGGAUUUUCUGCUUUCUGGAUAAAGUUGAGAUAAGGAUUAAAGGAUCUCGGUUAGAACUUAGAAUCACUGGAGGAUGCAAAAGGAAAGCUUUGCGAGCCUUGUUAGUAAUCCACGUACAUACCAAGUGACCAAAUUUCUAGGCUUCAAGCUGAAGUUGGUAAACACGAUCCAGGAAUUGCGCUAUAGAUGGGGAUGAAAAUGGCAUGGAUGAUCAUCUUCAUGUUUGUGAAGGAGCUGCUUCCAUGUUGAAGCCUGGUGGAUUUUUUUCU